AUGAAACUCAAGAACACUUGUUCUUUGAGUGCAGCAGACAAGGAAAAAGGAUGGCGAAGACAAAUUCUUAAAGUUGAUGUGGCUGAAAUAAUCUAUGCUAUCUGGAUUUCAAAGUCAAAAAAGAAAAGAAAAGAUAAGAUAAAGAUUACAAGAAACCCUAAUUCUGGAUCUUCCUUUACUCCUCUUUCUCUACCUUCCUUUAUCUUCAUCAACAGGAUCAGGAGUUAA